CAAGUCGAGCGGCAGCGACAACAUUGAACCUUCGGGGGAUUUGUUGGGCGGCGAGCGGCGGACGGGUGAGUAAUGCCUGGGAAAUUGCCCUGAUGUGGGGGAUAACCAUUGGAAACGAUGGCUAAUACCGCAUGAUAGCUUCGGCUCAAAGAGGGGGACCUUCGGGCCUCUCGCGUCAGGAUAUGCCCAGGUGGGAUUAGCUAGUUGGUGAGGUAAGGGCUCACCAAGGCGACGAUCCCUAGCUGGUCUGAGAGGAUGAUCAGCCACACUGGAACUGAGACACGGUCCAGACUCCUACGGGAGGCAGCAGUGGGGAAUAUUGCACAAUGGGCGCAAGCCUGAUGCAGCCAUGCCGCGUGUAUGAAGAAGGCCUUCGGGUUGUAAAGUACUUUCAGCAGUGAGGAAGGAGGUAUCGUUAAUAGCGGUAUCUUUUGACGUUAGCUGCAGAAGAAGCACCGGCUAACUCCGUGCCAGC
rnacentral:rRNA from 2 species